rnacentral:rRNA from 1 species
UACGUAGGGUGCAAGCGUUGUCCGGAAUUAUUGGGCGUAAAGAGCUCGUAGGCGGUCUGUCGCGUCGGAUGUGAAAAUCCAGGGCUCAACCCUGGACCUGCAUUCGAUACGGGCAGACUAGAGUUCGGCAGGGGAGACUGGAAUUCCUGGUGUAGCGGUGAAAUGCGCAGAUAUCAGGAGGAACACCGGUGGCGAAGGCGGCUCUCUGGCCUGUAACUGACGCUGAGGCGCGAAAGCGUGGGGAGCAAACAGG